rnacentral:rRNA from 1 species
AGUGAACGCUGGCGGUAGGCCUAACACAUGCAAGUCGAACGGCAGCACAGUAAGAGCUUGCUCUUACGGGUGGCGAGUGGCGGACGGGUGAGGAAUACAUCGGAAUCUACUUUUUCGUGGGGGAUCACGUAGGGAAACUUACGCUAAUACCGCAUACGACCUACGGGUGAAAGCAGGGGAUCUUCGGACCUUGCGCGAUUGAAUGAGCCGAUGUCGGAUUAGCUAGUUGGCGGGGUAAAGGCCCACCAAGGCGACGAUCCGUAGCUGGUCUGAGAGGAUGAUCAGCCACACUGGAACUGAGACACGGUCCAGACUCCUACGAGAGGCAGCAGUGGGGAAUAUUGGACAAUGGGCGCAAGCCUGAUCCAGCCAUACCGCGUGUGUGAAGAAGGCCUUCGGGUUGUAAAGCCCUUUUUUUGGGGAAGAAAAGCAGCAGGUUAAUACCCCGCUGUUCUGACGGUACCCAAAGAAUAAGCACCGGCUAACUUCGUG